GAGGAUGUAGAUGUGACUGUAUAUCACGUUAAAGUGUACACCGUCGAUAUAGCGAGUAAUAAUAGAGAGGGGCUGUCUUUUUAAAAGAGCAUCGCCUGUUUCCUCUGGGGCUUGAAUUCUGCCCUGAGGUGUGACCUUGUGAACUUGGCUCUGAAUAUCCCCAGUUCUGUCUCUCCGGACUCCCCUCCGCAUCCCUGGGCUCUAUUGUACAGGCUUUACCCAGGAAGGAAGUGACAUCAACGGGUCCAAACUAAAAAUAUGUCGCAGGACGAGCUGGUUUGGAUGUCCAGGACCGAUGUUUGUUUAAAAAGGAGGAUGCCUCCCACAAGGUGAUGCUCCCCUGAAGGAUGCAGCAGAGUGCCACGCUGGGGAGGCAGACAGACAGACGAGCGGGGCUGAGUUCUCUGUCAUCCACAGUUUAAUGAAAGGAAUGGUACGAGGUGUCAACGUGUUUCAGAGACUCUUGAAUGCCUACUCAUCUAAAAUCUGGAUGUAUUUUUGGCUAUAUGGAAAGACAAUGCAGCCUGGGGAGCUGAAAAGGUUGGUGCAAUGGCACUUGAAACACAAUUUGCUGGCAUUUACAAAGCAGUCAGUCAAGAAGCGCCAUUCCUUUUCCCUGGCGCUGAUUGGCUACACCCCAAGAGUGAAGCUGCCCGCUCAGUGAAGCCGUCAAGCCAUUAGUGAGUCCCAGCGAUGAUAAUGAAACCUCGGAGGUGGUCUGAGCCACUGUGGUAGUGGAGCUGGAGCACAAGAGAAAGGUUAAGGACAUGGAGCCAGUACAGCUCCUCCCUGUGAUCUCCUGCUGCCUCCUCCCAAGCCACCCACAUGCAGAGAGAGGGUGAGAGAUCAGUCCCACACAAAUACAACAUAAUAACACCACCAUUUGAUGUGAAAAUCUGCUUUUGAUUUAAUUAUAGCCCGCAAAUGCAUAUCUGUCUACAAUGAAAAGAUUUGAGAAUUUUUGGCCAGAGCUACAGUUUCCUUUCUAUGGUGCUGGUAGGUGUCACAUGAUCUUAAAUCUCUUAUCGAGAAUGUUUCCCUUUCCAUGUGUGCAUUCAAAUAUUUCCUGAUUUCGGUUAAUAACAAAAUAAUGACAUCAAAAACAAACGUUUUCAUGCCACGCAUUUUAAUCACAUUAUGAUAUGUGAGCAUCUUCCUCAUAUUUUAACAAAUCAAGUUAAGUAAAGCAAAUGGUCUGUUUACGCCAAUCAGUCAUAAGAUUAUAACUAAUGCCAGGUGCCGUGAGUAAUAUGUUGUUAUAACAGAAUGUUCAGCUGAGAAAACCAUCAGCAUUGGUGUUAUUUUGACAUUUACCACAGACGUAAACAGUUUAGAAGAAUAUUCCACCCCCCUAACCCCAUUUCCUCCCCUGUGGGCGCUUUAAAAGCUGCUUACAAAAAUGGCUUAAAGAACAUGACAGCAGAUCUUAGGGGUUUAGUCAGCCUCUAAAAUCCCCAGAUUCUGACCUGAUGGGAUCUAAUUGCAUCUGUAAUAAGAAACUCUGUCCAAAAAGCUCCCCAUUACACAUCAAAGAGGGGUCAAAGAAAUAUUAAAAUCUAUUGUUUAGGAACUAAACAUUUAGGACACCCUCAGAUAUUUUAUAACAGAGCAGAUGCAGAGCCUCCUGAAAGUUUUAAAUGUACUUUUUCACACUUCAUCAGGUUGGAAACAUAAACUUGAACUUGUUUGAUUAGGAUUGCACUAAGCCAAAAACAAAGUAGGAAUCAAUUGUGAUGUUGAAAGAAAAAAACAGAGAAUUUUCAAAAUGUUUUACAAAUAAAAAUCUGAUGAUUGAUCUCUCUUUGUUCUAUUUCCUCUUAGUCAAGACAAGUGCAACCAGCUGUCUUCAGAAAACUAGUAAGUUCAACAUCACCUGUGCAUCAUUUAAUCUCAGUUUGUCAGAAACUGAGGCAGACUUUAGAAGCAACACAGUGCCCUGAUUAGGGGGAGUUCCAAAUAUAAUAUAAUUUUAUUAUAAUGCAUGCUUUGCACACAUUGUGCUUAAACAAAAGCAAACAAAAUUCCUAUCUCCUAGGCCCAAAUCAGGUGAGAUGUAUUUUCAAGUGUUUGAAAAUUAAGAACUUAUAGUCAUUUUUUGGAUGCAACAUGCAGUUAUUGGCUCGGGUCAUAUUAAACCUACCAUGCAUCAGUUCAAACCUGCUCAUCUAUAGAGCUACCUGUUAAUGUACUCUAAGUGUUAUUAGUAAAAUAAUUUUACUAAUAAUGCCAGGUCGUUGUUGUAAAUAAGAAUUAGUUCUCAAUAACUCACAUUGUUAAGUAAAGAUUAAAUAAGAAAAAUAGUGGGUGGGGCAACAAAACUGGCCCAGGGCCCACAUCCUUUUAAAUCCGGCCCCGGCCACAAGCCACAAAACGUAAGGAAAAGGUGUUAUUGUAAAAACAAAGAGAAAAACUGAAACACUGUUUGGAAAAUAACCCUGAAUACAUAAUCCUCAUAGUGAAACAUGGUGGUGACGGCAUCAUGCUGUGGGGAUGCUUUCCUUCCACACAGUCAAAUUGAUUGAUUGGGAUUGUAGAAAGAUGGAUGGUGGGGCUAUUUUGCAAAGAAGAAUGAGAAUAAAUGUCAGUUUCUCUACUAGCUCUUUGUGCAGAGCUAGUAGAGAAAUGUCUGGCAGCUGUUUUGGCAGGAAAGGAGGAUUCUACAAUAUAUCGACUUGGAGAGGCUUAAAAUACACAGCAGACUUUUUAGAUUUUCAUUUGUUUUAAAAAAAUGACAACCGUGAAAUAUUUCCUUCCAUUUUAAAAUGUCACUCAACUUUUGUGGGUUUUUACCACAUGAAACCAAAUAAAAUACACCAACGUUUGUGGUUGAAAUGUGACAAAAUGUGACAAGUUACCAGGAUUUGAAUACUUUUGCAAGAGCAUGCAGACAGUCAUAAUGUUAUGGCUGAUCAGUGUUUAACAGGGCAAUAAAUUAAAGCACUUCUUGGCUCUCACUUGGAGCAUGUUUCGUUAUUAACUGAUCAACAGAUCUGCUAUGGUAUGAAUAACUCUCUCUUUCCCUGUUGGUCCCGUAACAAAUGGCAGGGCUCUCGGACACACAUUUGUGUCUCCAUCAGGGCUGUCGUACAAUCAGCUCCAAGAAUACAUAUUAAUCAAUGUCGUUUUUUUUUUGUUUUUUCCUGUUCUUGUCUGCUUAUUAAGCCCAGCCAUCAACCAACCCCCCCUGCUUCCAAUACGUUAGCGGAUAUCAGUAUGUCCACUACUCUUGUGAACAGGGAUGAGAAGGAGAAAAAGAGGGAGAGGAAAUAAAGGUCUGAGGAGUUUGGCAAAGAGACGAUGGAGGCUGAGACAGAUGGCAUGAAGUCUGCAGCACUCUGGCGUGGCUUGCCUGGUGCUAAAAUCCUCCUCUCUCACAUUCCAAUAAAUCCUACCAGGAGGCUGGGGAGUCUGUUACACCACUCCAAGGAUCCACACGGCUCUCCUCCCUACCUCCCUCCCCCAUACAUCAGUGCCCCCCCUCCUCAUCAGUGUCUGAGUCUCUGACCACUCCAGUAUCUGAUUUCUGCUAUUACUGAACCCACAGAACUGUCUGCAUUCACUUACAGAAAUGUAUAGAUGUGGAUCUACUGAUAAGAUCAGCAGCAGCAGAUGAAAAAAAUAGUCUUUAUGAUCGCUCUUAUUGAAAACUUUUGAGAGAUGGCCUUUAUUGUCAUUCCAGAGUACAAAUCGUAUUCUGGCCCAAAACAUGAGAGAAACACUGUACAAUCCAUUUACAUUAGAGGAAAAAGACAUAAGAAGCUUUUUGAUUAGUCUCACCAGAGCCUGCAAUCAGCCCAAAGUCUUGAGCAGACACAGUCUAACCAAAUAUCAGCCUAAACAUGCAGCUUGCAGUUCAAGGCUUCCUGUGGGUCUUUAAAUCCAAAGUGGACAAUAAGUGAGGCUGUGAUUACACACUUAGCCCAAAGCCCAAAACUUGAUCCCAGACUCCUCAGCAACUUCACAUCCGUAUUCUGAACUGCUGGAUCUCCUUUGAGUUUGCUCUCUUUUUUUCCGACUCAAAGUGGAUCAUCUCCUAAGAACAAUCUAAUUUAUUUUACGCUCUCUCUCUCUCUCUUCCUCUCUCUCUCUCCCUGUGUUUCUUUCUGGCUUCUGUUUGUUCUAAUGAAUGACUUCUGAGAUAAAGAGCUGCUGUGAUGGGGUCACAAAGGGCCUCAGAAUCACAUUACUGUUAAUGAUAAUAAAAAGAACAAUCUGCGCUGAACGUCUUGGAUGUUUCCCUUUUCUCCACCCGUAUGGACGGGACGUUUUAUCUGCUAUUGUUUUCAGUGUUGUUACACAUGAAAAGCGUAUGAAAUUAAAAUGCAUUCUAAAUAUU